rnacentral:rRNA from 1 species
UACGGAGGGUGCGAGCGUUGUCCGGAAUCACCGGGCGUAAAGGGCGCGUAGGCGGCGCGAUAGGCGGCGGUGAAAGCCCGGAGCUCAACUCCGGGUCGGCCGUCGAUACUUCCGGGCUUGAGCACUGUAGAGGCAGAUGGAAUUCCGGGUGUAGCGGUGGAAUGCGUAGAGAUCCGGAAGAACACCGGUGGCGAAGGCGGUCUGCUGGGCAGUUGCUGACGCUGAUGCGCGACAGCGUGGGGAGCAAACAGG